CAUUCAUUGGAUGGAAGUUGGUUAGCAUAGAUCAGUCUUGGCUGCCAACCAGAUGAACUUUUAUGUGCACAUGAGAGGGAAGUAGCCAUUGCCUGGACAAGUCUGCUGAAACACAAACACACACACAUCCAGUCGUCCAUACAUCCAUCUGCCCGUCCAUACAUCCAUCUGCCCGUCCAUACAUCCAUCUUCCCGACCAUACAUGCAUUCAUUCAUUCACGUCAGCUGGAUGUGCAAAGGGCAAGCAGAAAGAGAGUGACAGAGGUGCCUCUCUCUCUCACUCCUACUACUGCUACUACCACCCUUACUUCUCCAUCUAAGCCCUGCUAUUAUAACAAAUUGUUGCUUCACCUUCAGCCCCUCCCUCCUUUUCCUUUCUUUCUGCCACACUAAUGCCAUUUGAAGUGCCCAACUGGAGGCUGGUUAAGCCACUCUGGUUCCCCUCC
rnacentral:lncRNA from 1 species